UACGGAGGGUGCGAGCGUUGUCCGGAAUCACUGGGCGUAAAGGGCGCGUAGGCGGCCUGAUAAGUAGGGGGUGAAAUCCUGCGGCUUAACCGCAGGGCUGCCUUCUAAACUGUCAGGCUCGAGCACAGUAGAGGCAGGUGGAAUUCCCGGUGUAGCGGUGGAAUGCGUAGAGAUCGGGAAGAACAUCAGUGGCGAAGGCGGCCUGCUGGGCUGUUGCUGACGCUGAGACACGAAAGCCAGGGGAGCAAACGGG
rnacentral:rRNA from 1 species